rnacentral:lncRNA from 1 species
AGCAGAUUUCAAUGGAACAGUGAUAACUUCCUUUGGAACAGUAAUAACAGCUUUUGGGAAAAUAUCACUUGCAUAAAUUGGUACUAAUUCUUUCCUUGGGCGACCUCUCCUUUUUGCCAUAACUCCUUCUACUAGGUUUACUUACCUACGCAGAAGCAGCAGAAAGAAGAAGAUGAAUAGCGAAGAAGAUGAAGAAAGUCAGAGAGAAGGCAGACAAGGGUAACUUGAUUUGGGAAUUG